UACGUAGGGUGCGAGCGUGUCCGGAAUUAUUGGGCGUAAAGAGCUCGUAGGCGGCUUGUCACGUCGGUUGUGAAAGCCCGGGGCUUAACCCCGGGUCUGCAGUCGAUACGGGCAGGCUAGAGUUCGGUAGGGGAGAUCGGAAUUCCUGGUGUAGCGGUGAAAUGCGCAGAUAUCAGGAGGAACACCGGUGGCGAAGGCGGAUCUCUGGGCCGAUACUGACGCUGAGGAGCGAAAGCGUGGGGAGCGAACAGG
rnacentral:rRNA from 1 species